UGAGCAAUCUGCCCUUCUCUUCGGAAUAAACGUUGGAAACGACGUCUAAUGCCGAAUACGACCUCCUUUCGCAUGAUCGGAGGUGGAAAGCUCCGGCGGAGAAGGAUGAGCUCGCGGCCUAUCAGCUAGUUGGUGUGGGUAAUGGCCCACCAAGGCGACGACGGAUAGCCGGCCUGAGAGGGUGACCGGCCACACUGGGACUGAGACACGGCCCAGACCUCCGUACGGGAGGNAGCG
rnacentral:rRNA from 1 species